rnacentral:rRNA from 1 species
GAUCAACGCUGGCGGCGUGCCUCAGACAUGCAAGUCGAACGAUUAAAGCUCUCUUCGGGGAGUGCAUAAAGUGGCGCACGGGUGAGUAACACGUAAGUAAUCUACCCUCGAGUGGGGAAUAACGUCCGGAAACGGACGCUAAUACCGCAUGAUGCAGCGGCACCGCAAGGUGACAGUUGUUAAAGAUUUAUCGCUUGGGGAGGAGCUUGCGGCAGAUUAGCUAGUGGUAAGGUAAUGGCUUACCAAGGCUACGAUCUGUAACCGGUCUAAGAGGACGGUCGGUCACACUGACACUGAAUAACGGGUCAGACUCCUACGGGAGGCAGCAGUCGGGAAUUUUGGGCAAUGGGCGAAAGCCUGACCCAGCAACGCCGCGUGAAGGAUGAAGUAUUUCGGUAUGUAAACUUCGAAAGAAUAGGAAAGAAUAAAUGACGGUACUAUUUAUAAGGUCCGGCUAACUACGUGCCAGCCGCCGCUGUAAG